AACGAACGCUGGCGGCAUGCCUAACACAUGCAAGUCGAACGGGAUCCUAGCUUGCUAGGUGAGAGUGGCGGACGGGUGAGUAACACGUGGGAAUCUGCCUUUUGGUUCGGGAUAACCGCGGGAAACUGCGGCUAAUACCGAAUGCCCUCGAGAGAGGAAAGAUUUAUCGCCAGAAGAGGAGCCCGCGUCCGAUUAGGUAGUUGGUGGGGGUAAAGGCCUACCAAGCCGACGAUCGGUAGCUGGUCUGAGAGGAUGAUCAGCCACACUGGGACUGAGAUACGGCCCAGACUCCUACGGGAGCAGCAGUGGGGAAUAUUGGACAAUGGGGGCAACCCUGAUCCAGCGAAUGGCCGCGUGAGUGAUGAAGG
rnacentral:rRNA from 1 species